UAAUAGUGUAUAUUAACGUUGUUGCAGUUAAAAAGCUCGUAGUUGGAUUUCUGGAGGGAGCGUCGGCCCGUAUUUACGAGUGCGUGACGUCUCUGUCCAUCCUUGCGGGAAGGCACGGCAUUGAUUUGUUGUGUCGGAUCGCAUCAUUUACUGUGAAAAAAUUAGAGUGUUCAAAGCAGGCUUUCGCUUGAAUACAUUAGCAUGGAAUAAUAAGAUAGGACUUUGGUGCUAUUUUGUUGGUUGAGCCUAAAGUAAUGAUUAAUAGGGAUAGUUGGGGGCACCUGUAUUGCGUUGUCAGAGGUGAAAUUCUUGGAUUUACGCAAGACAAACAGCUGCGAAAGCGUCUGCCAAGGAUGUUUUCAUUAA
rnacentral:rRNA from 1 species